GACGAACGCUGGCGGCGUGCUUAACACAUGCAAGUCGAACGGAAAGGCCCUGCUUUUGUGGGGUGCUCGUUUGGCGAACGGGGGUGUAACACGUGAGUAACCUGCCCUUGUCUUUGGGAGAAAUUCAGGAAACUGGGGCUAAUACCGGAUAGGAGCUCCUGCUGCACGUGGUGGGUUGGAAAGUUUCGGCGGUUGGGGCUGGACUCGCGGCUUAUGAGCUGGUUGGUGGGGUUGGUGCUUACCAAGGGUUUGACGGGUAGCCGGCCUGAGAGGGUGACCGGCGACAUUGGGACUGAGAUACGGCCCAGAAUCCUACGGGAGGCAGCGGUGGGGAAUAUUGCACAAUGGGCGGAAGCGUGAUGCAGCAACGCCGCGUGCGGGAUGACGGCCUUCGGGUUGUAAACCGCUUUCGAAUGUGACGAAGCGUGAGUGACGGUAAUGAGUAAAGAAGCACCGGCUAACUACGUG
rnacentral:rRNA from 1 species